rnacentral:tRNA from 1 species
GUUCAACCCCCUCCCCUCCUA